rnacentral:rRNA from 1 species
CCUACGGGAGGCAGCAGUGAGGAAUAUUGGUCAAUGGGCGAGAGCCUGAACCAGCCAAGUCGCGUGAAGGAUGAAGGAUCUAUGGUUUGUAAACUUCUUUUAUAUGGGAAUAAAGUGAGGAACGUGUUCCUUUUUGUAUGUACCAUAUGAAUAAGCAUCGGCUAACUCCGUGCCAGCAGCCGCGGUAAUACGGAGGAUGCGAGCGUUAUCCGGAUUUAUUGGGUUUACAGGGUGCGUAGGUGGUGAAUUAAGUCAGCGGUGAAAGUUUGUGGCUCAACCAUAAAAUUGCCGUUGAAACUGGUAGACUUGAGUAUAUUGGAGGUAGGCGGAAGGCGUGGUGUAGCGGUGAAAUGCAUAGAUAUCAUGCAGAACUCCGAUUGCGAAGGCAGCUUACUAAACUAUAACUGACACUGAAGCACGAAAGCGUGGGGAUCAAACAGGAUUAGAUACCCUAGUAGUC